GAUGAACGCUGGCGGCGUGCCUAAUACAUGCAAGUCGAGCGAACAGAUAAGGAGCUUGCUCCUUUGACGUUAGCGGCGGACGGGUGAGUAACACGUGGGUAACCUACCUAUAAGACUGGAAUAACUCCGGGAAACCGGGGCUAAUGCCGGAUAACAUUUAGAACCGCAUGGUUCUAAAGUGAAAGAUGGUUUUGCUAUCACUUAUAGAUGGACCCGCGCCGUAUUAGCUAGUUGGUAAGGUAACGGCUUACCAAGGCAACGAUACGUAGCCGACCUGAGAGGGUGAUCGGCCACACUGGAACUGAGACACGGUCCAGACUCCUACGGGAGGCAGCAGUAGGGAAUCUUCCGCAAUGGGCGAAAGCCUGACGGAGCAACGCCGCGUGAGUGAUGAAGGUCUUCGAAUCGUAAAACUCUGUUAUUAGGGAAGAACAAAUGUGUAAGUAACUGUGCACGUCUUGACGGUACCUAAUCAGAAAGCCACGGCUAACUACGUG
rnacentral:rRNA from 1 species